ensembl:lncRNA
UAAUCAUUAACAGAAGCAAUGAGCUCUUGAGUGUUUCAUUCCAGAGAGCAAGACCAAAUCGGCUGGAUCACGAGGACAACAGAAGCCUAGACAACUCAUUCUAUCCAAAUAACCACUAAAAACUUGAAGUUUCAGAGUAAAAAGGUUGUGUUACAGAAUACCUAGCAUGUUGACUACUGAGAAUGGACCUAAAAGGCACAUUUACAGCUGGAAACCUCAUUCUGUCGGAGGCACUCAACCUGGUAUCAGUCACCCUGGGAGAUGUAUCAACAGCAAGGCCUGGCAUCUGAGCUCCAGACCCCAGCGCUGGAGAAAUACGGCACCAUCAUAUUACUUCUGUUUUGUGAAACAAGCUGUCCUGUGGAACAGAGGACAGCAUCACACGGUAAUCAGACGUGAGAAAUGCCCUCCACCCUUGUGUUCUCGUUUUCAUUCUCAUAUGGAGGCCUGGCCUGACCAUUUCAGAAACCCACAAUUCUUAAACAUGCAUCCCAGACCAGGGCCUAAUCAUCUGGGGCAAAAACAACGACAGCAGAGUGCUCCACAACCUCAAAGAUGUCCAGAUGUCAGGAGGAACCAAAAUGUGGAUCAUUCCAACAGGAGUCAAUUCAGUGUGGUUCUACCGCAUGCACCUGGAUGCCCUAAUCCAAGUAGAGCUUCUCCAGAACCCCCAACAAGUCCUUCUCUGAUGCUCAAGUUUGUUGAUCACCGUCAGAAACCCCAAACCUCCACUCCACACUUACAACUGACAGAUGAGGAAAAAGAUGCAUGCUCUGCGCCACAAAAUCUGAAUCAAGGGCACCAUGAAAUGGGUGAAGAGGAGACAAUGACCCCAACAACUCUGUCCACCCCGACAACCCCAAGCAUCCCAGCCACCCCAACUACUCCUGGCACCCAAAGUACUCCAAGUAGCCCAGUCACUCCAGGCACACCAAGUUCAUCUGUGACCCCAAAUUCUCUUUCUGAUUUUAGUGGCCCUUCAUCGAGCCAGUUCAGCCGUAGCACUGACCUGAACAGUAGCUUCUCAGAUGCCCUGUCAGUGAACUUCAGCGUUGACCAUUGUGAAGACAAUAACACCGAUGAUGAGGAUAACCAUGCUUCUGACCUUGACCAGAAUAAUUAUUAUCCAGAGGGCUGCUCUACUUCUCUCCCCGAGCUUCACUUUAGCUCUGCAGGAAGUUACAGUCAGGCCAGCUCACGAAUGGAUGUCCUUCAAGCACAUCUCUCUAGAUCUCUCACCUCCUGCAAACAAGAAACACCUUCCACUUGCUUGCCAGACACUCCAAUUUACACCUCCAAAACCCCUCAGUCUGGGCAAACCCCAGCCACCCAACAGUCAACAUAUGAAACCCUGCACAGACACCCUGGAUCCAGCCAGUCUGGCCUGAGCAUUCAGUCACAAAAACCUGGAUGCUCAACAGCAGAUAGUCGAUCAGAAUGGAACCUGUGGCCUGUGCUUCCUCCCAUCAUGCCACAGCAAGAUGAACUGCAAGAUGAAAGUUUACUGGGAGGGACCCCUGACUCCCUGUCCGACAGGUCACAGUCUGAUAUCUUUGCUGAGCUGGAUGAUCUGGCCCCUUGCUCAAGUUCCUGUGUGUCUCCGGACCACCCAGCCGGGAGUCAAACUGACCGAUCCUCACCUACCACAGAUCUGAGUCCUGGACUUGCGGCACUGACUGUGGGAUGUGAUUCGGGUGAUCUGGGAUCUUUGUCCCAUGUGCAGCUCCUGCUAUUGGAGCGAAGAGGAUCCGAGAGUCCAGGUUCCAUCCCAAGUCCCGAAUGGUGUCGAACUCUGGACGGGGAGGAGUAUGAACCUGGCCUUAGAGUCUGGAGCUCGGGCAUUUCCCAAUAUUAUCAGUCCACAGUCCCCGACAACCGCAAACCAUUAAGUGGCAGAAACAGCAGCCAAGAUUCUUUGGCAACUUUCAAGGGACGCAGAAAGUGCCCCGGGCUCAUCAGUGUGGGGAGUGUAUCAAGGACAUCAUCCUGUUGUUCUCUCAGCUCAAGGGUGUCUGAGAGCAGCUCCAGGAACCGAGAAAAAAACACCUGUGAGGACCAAGGUUGUGAAUCCCCAGAUGAGAAUGUCCCACUCUAUUUAUCACCUCUCUCUCCCAGUGCUUUGCUGACAGAAAGCCCAACAAACGGGGGGACCAUACUGGUCCCGCAAUGUGGAACCAGUGACCAUGCUGAAAAGCACAGAAACAGGUCAGACAGACUUCGAGAGAAGAGGAAGAGGAAGAAGGAGAUGAAGAAGACAGAGGAGAGGAAGAAUAAAGCCCUGCAGAUUUACUCCAAACUUCAGGAUGGAAAAGACCCAACAGAGCCCACUCAUCAGAGCCCUUGCUCUAAGUUUGAGGACUUUGAUUUUCUGGCAAAGUACUGCAUCCUCAGUCAGGACAAGCUGUCCAUGUACAAAAGAGCUUUUGAGGCCGCUGAUAGUGAUGGAGAUGGUUAUCUGAGCUGUCUCCAAGUUUUGCUGGCACUGAAAGAGAUCAUUCCCCCAGAACUUCUGACUGAAGAAGAGGAAAUAUAUGUGUACAGGAUUCUGGAGCUGGUUGAUUUCAGAGUAACAGAAGGCCUUACGGAUCUGCGCCUGUUUGCUGUAGUGGCCAGUUUGGCCCAGAAAAUAGCCACACUCGAUGAUUUCAUGCGCUCCCUCAUCAGCAAGAUGGAUUUCAAAUCUCUGGAGAUGAAGCUUUAUAAAGCCAAGCAGUUGUUCUUGUUUUUGCUGGAGGCCCAAACAGGGGGCGCUCUGGUGCCAGAGGGUUGCAUUGGGGCAGAGCAACUACUAGUGGAGCUUAAGGCAGGGGGCAUCAGGCCUGAGCAUGAGGCAUCGGUGAGGCGGGAACUGCGCAGUUUGCGCUCCCUUGAUCUUCUUGACUUCCUCGCUCACCUGCCUCUCUUCAUCCUCAUUCAUAACUCAGUUAUCGCAAACCCCUUCGAUGACUCCAGCAACCUGUGAUGGUAUCAACAACAACUGUCUGCACCAAUAGUUAGGCCACAUUAACAUCAACAUAAAUACAUAUAUUAGAUACAUAUGUAUGAAAAAAGUUUGGGGCCUGAAGGAUUUUUUUAUGUUUUUGAAAGAAGCUCUUUUGCUCACCAAGGCUGCAUUUAUUUGAUCAAAAAUACAGUUACAAAAAAAGUUUAAAAUAAGUGUUUUCUAUUUUAAUAUAUUUUAAAAAGUAAUUUAUUUCUGUGAUGCAAAGCUGAAUUUUCACCAGCUGUUACUCCAGUCUUCAGUGUCACAUGAUCCUUCAAAAAUAAUUGUAAUAUGCUGAUCAAAAGUACUUCAGUAUUAUGUUGAAAACAGUUGUGAUGCUUAAUAUUUUUGUGGAAUCAUCACUAAGUAAGACUAUACAAAUACUGAUACAAAUGAUUAUGUUUAAGUGUCCCAUUUAUGUAUUCAUCCUGCUGAACUCUGCUGAAAGUGACCAAACCUCAAUAAAAAUUACAAACAAAGUCUUGUUAAUUAUUCUUUUAGCAUCAAUGUCAAUAACUUGUUUAAAAAGGGGUAAACACUGACUGACUGAAUGUCAAUUAAAAUAAAACCUUUCUCUAUUUCCCCCCAAAAAACAGGUCAUAGAUUUCAGUUACUGCACAAGACUGAGCCAUCACUGCCUAACAUUAGUAGAGUGGAGAGGAGUGCUGUCUGUGGUACUGAAACACUGUUUGCAUUGCACUCUUCAGGGCCAAAGUCAAGCAGCUCAUAUUUCAUGCAGGCAAGAGCCUUUAUUAAUGUCAUUUGCAAUUCUGCAUAGAGAUUGAAAAGUUUGCUCAGUGUGGUCGUCAAACAUCCAAUCGUCACUGAUAAUCACUCACCAAACCUGCAGGACUUAGUAGGGGAAAGGGAAGAGAAGAGCUUUGACAAGCAUAGAGAGCACCGUCACAUUCAGACAUAACAAAAGUGAGCAUUUGUAUUAGAAAGAGGAGAGGGGGGGAAAUGAAAAGGAUCGAGGUAGCGAGAAAAACAGAGAACGACCGUUUUCAUUUAGCCUAAAGAAAUGGCCACAGACAUUCGACAGUCGUGAAAAGCUUUCUGGGCACUCAUGAGGAAGUGAGUGCUGCCUAACAGUCUGCGUCUUUAGAUUUACAAAGUCUGUAGAAGAAGUUGAGAGGCAGGGAUGGCAGCACUUUCAAAGAGAAUGAAAGGAGGCUGGAGAGGAGUGAUAACAAGAAGUCCCCAUGAAUUUCAACAGGGAGAACAUCAGAGGGGCCCGGAUCACUAAUCAGUGUGGGUUACAUGCUGC